UCGUGGGGCUCCGGCCCCGUCGAGAUAGAGCCCUUGCCUUUUUAUAGCACCGUCCGUUUCCUCGGCAGGCCCGCCUGCCAACGGGGACAACCACAAACCCUUUGCUGUACCUGCGUCGUCUGAACAAAAACAAAACAAUCA
rnacentral:misc_RNA from 1 species